ensembl:lncRNA
GUUUCCUCUUAUCUGUGACCCAUUCUACCUAAAAUGAAUCUUCUUUGUAGAUUUCAGGGUUUUAUAGAGUUUUCUUCAAUCGGGUUGGCACCAAGCCACGUCCUAUGGAGGCCACUGGAGUGGUGUGCAGUAAAUGCAUCGGGCAGCAGGAGGAAUUGGUUCUACUGUCACAGAAACACUUCUAGGCCAGAGAAAUCAACCAAGGAAGCCUUCCAAGAUCUGCCAGCCCUCUCCUGAGCUCGGGCAGCCUCUCUCUGCCUACACUGGAGCCCACUGUUCUCCAUCAGGUCUGAUGUCCCCUCUCUUCCUGAUCCAGGCUGGGUGCACGGUGGCACCUCUGCAGGGCCGGCCUGGAUCACUGGUCUGCAGGCCCUCUCCUCAGAGGAAGAACGAGGUUCUCUGUCCCGCCCCCCACCCCCAGCUCCCUGUGAGGACAGGAUUUGGUUGUGCUCCUUCAAGAGAAGGUGUGACCACAUACCCCAGCCCUGGAAGUGGCCCUGCUUCGGGCCAGUCAGCAAGUUCUUUGUAAUGGAAAGGGCAGGUCGGGUUGAAAUGAGCCUGGACUUGCGCAUCAGCGGACUGGGUUCUAGUCCCAGCUCUGCCUCGGUGGCACCUAUGACCUAAGGCUGUGAAGUCACAUAAUCUCCCUGAGCCUCCAGGCUCUAUAAUCUCCAAAAUAUCGCCCCACAGGCACUGGUGACCGCUGACAGCACUGCACACUCAGCCUUGCAUACUGCCUGCACACAGUAACUGCUCAGGAAAGGCAUGUGGGGUGGAUGGAGGAGGGUCAGGAGUCCCCGCUUUCCCAGCGCCCUGAGCCUCCCUCCCUGCCCGCUCUGACUCCGGAACCAGCUGCGCUCACCCGCCUGUCCUGUCGGCACUGGCCAGCUCUCUGCACUCUCUUGAUUCUUGCAGAAACUUUCUCUUGUCGGACAGAACACACGCUUCCCAUCAGCUUUUAUUUCUGUGAGGGCUUGCUUACGAGCAGGGCAUUCUGUUCUUGGAAUUUCUUGUUAAAAUAUUUCAUUUAAUUAAGUUUUUACAACCAGCUCUGCUUUGUGUCUGUCAGAAGGUAGGGGCCGGGCAGCCCUCUCCUCAGCUCUCUGGGAGGCCAGGUCACAGAGACUCUGGGGGAGCCGAGCCCAGGCCCGGGGGCCACAUCCCUAGAUCUCCAGGCCUUCUUAUGCAGCCAUGAGAGCUGAGAUUGUCAAAGGGUGGACAUCAACCCCAGCCCCCGCCGGAGACCUCGUGCCACCAGAAAGAUUGCCUGAGCACUCUCCAGUGGGACUCUCUCUCCACCGAGGAACCGCCCUGUGUCUGAGCCACAAAUGCAGUCCAGAGAAACACCCUGCAGACCAUCAUAGCCACCUGUUAGCACCCCCAAACUCCAGUCAAGGCCCACGCCUGUCGCCUUCCUUCCCAGGAUCCUUCCUUAGCCCAUUCCUCUGGCCUGUUCAAGCCUGGGGGCCUCCCCAAGUCCCUCAACUAGAACUGCCUCCCUCCUCCAGCCACACCCCACACGGAAAUCGUACCCCCUGCUGACCUGGUCAUUUAUGCACCUUCUCCUCCACAAGCAUUGCAUCAACCCAGGCCAUGCUGGGGCACCUCUGUCUCCUGCACAGGCUGUAUCUCACGGCCUUGAACUCAACCAAACACGUCUUUCCUCCUCCCCGCAGAACGCGGCUGUGAAUGGACGGGAAUCUGUGGGCAGGGGUGUGGCAGAGGUGCUGCUCUCCCACACUCAUGUUUGAAAGGUUCCAGACCACGUGUGCCCCACAGGCAGAAGCUGAGGUCACUUAGGAUGAGAGGGAGGGGAGGGGUCAGGCAAGCAGGUGGGUUUGUACGGGGUGUUCUCAGCAGGGCAUGGCUGCACCCAAGGCCCAGCACAGCGCAGCGCGGAGCUUCGGUAAACU